rnacentral:lncRNA from 1 species
GGUUUAAGGACCUUUAUAACAAGUGGAUGGUGGGGGAGUCAUCAAGACAGAUCCUGAAUCAAACAACUUCUAGCAAUCUCUAGAGUUAGUGUUAGGCUGGAGUCAGUACUGUGGGUAGAAAUUAAAUAUGGAAUAUCUUUCUGAGUUAGAAGAGCACGAGAAGAAACUAGAUGGACUAUGACAAAGAAUUUUGAUAUUUUCUUUUUCCCUUAUAGAGUUCAGUCCAAAAUCUUAAGUUACCACCUAACACAGAGUUGGAAGAUGCUUAUGGUAAAGAAACAAGCUGAGGAGAUGCUAUUAGAGAGGCCCUGGAAAGAGAAAUUGGCAGAAAAGUAGAUCUUUACAAGCUUCCCUCAAUCCUUGAAGGCUGGAUUUUACUACUCCCAUUUUACAGAUGAAGAAAUUGGAGCUUAAAGACAUUAAGUGACUUGAUUAAAUGUGAAUAGAGUCUAAGAGGCAAACCGAGUCCAGAUCAAGAGCUCUUCCCAUUGCAUCUUACUCUCUUCUUCUUCAUGGACUUCUACCAAAGGAAAUCUAGAAGUAAACCCUAUUUCUACCAUGAAGGCUGCUCUUUCUGCUGUUAAUGUUGCUGAAUAACUGCUCAUCUCAAAAGCCUUAUUGGCUGCCUAUUGCUUAAUGUGUCAGACACGGCACAUUUCUAUAGAUGUUCCAAAUGAUUCUUCCAUGAUCUUCGAAAACUAUCCAUGCAGCUAGGUGUCUCAGUGGUUUGAGAGCUAGCUUUAGAUAUGGGAGGUCCCGAGUUCAAAUCUGGUCACAGAUAUCCCUAGAUGUGUGACCUUACGCAAAUCACUUAAUCCCAAUUGCCACAAACCCUAUACCAUUCUUCUGUUUUAGAGCCAAUACUUAGUAUUGAUUUCAAGAUGGAAGAUAAGGAUUAUAAAAAAAAGAAAGAAAACUAUCCAUUGAAAGUUUCAGAGCUAGAAGGGACCUGAGAGACCAUUUCAUCCAGUUGAUUUAUUUUAGAGACUAGGAAAAGCUAAGCAAUGAAGCCAAGGUAAUAUGGCCAGUUAUCAACAAGCAUAUACCAUCUCUUUGUGGCUUUAGCCCCAGUACAACUUUGCUUUCUCACAUUCACUGAGCAUUUAUUAAUCACUUAUGAUCUAGGAAUAUGAAGUGUGAGAAUUUAAUA